rnacentral:rRNA from 1 species
UGGGGAAUUUUGGACAAUGGGCGAAAGCCUGAUCCAGCAAUGCCGCGUGUGUGAAGAAGGCCUUCGGGUUGUAAAGCACUUUUGUCCGGAAAGAAAUCCUUGGCUCUAAUACAGUCGGGGGAUGACGGUACCGGAAGAAUAAGCACCGGCUAACUACGUGCCAGCAGCCGCGGUAAUACGUAGGGUGCAAGCGUUAAUCGGAAUUACUGGGCGUAAAGCGUGCGCAGGCGGUUUGCUAAGACCGAUGUGAAAAUCCCCGGGCUCAACCUGGGAAACUGCAUUGGUGACUGGCAGGCUAGAGUAUGGCAGAGGGGGGUAGAAUUCCACGUGUAGCAGUGAAAAUGCGUAGAGAUGUGGAGGAAUACCGAUGGCGAAAGGCAGCCCCCUGGGCCAAAUACUGACGCUCAUGCACGAAAAGCGUGGGGAGCAAAACAGGAUUAGAUACCCUGGUAGUCCACGCCCUAAAACGAUGUCAACUAGUUGUUGGGGAUUCAUUUCCUUAGUAACGUAGCUAACGCGUGAAAGUUGACCGCCUGGGGAGUACGGUCGCAAAGAUUAAAAACUCAAAUGAAUUGACGGGGUCAUAGCUGUUUCCU